rnacentral:rRNA from 1 species
AUUGAACGCUGGCGGCAGGCCUAACACAUGCAAGUCGAACGCGUGGCGGACGGGAGAGUAAUGUGUGGGAAACUGCCCGAUGAAGGGGGAUAACUCCUGGAAACGGUAGCUAAUACCGCUUAGCAUCGGCUGUGCGCAGAUGGGCUUAGCUAGUAGGUGGGGGAACGGCUCACCUAGGCGACGAUCCCUAGCUGGUCUGCGAGGAGGACCAGCCACACUGGAACUGAGACACGGUCCAGACUCCUACGGGAGGCAGCAGUGGGGAAUAUUGCACAAUGGGCGCAAGCCUGAUGCAGCCAUGCCGCGUGUAUGAAGAAGGCCUUCGGGUUGUAAAGUACUUUCAGCUAGGAGGCGUUACUCGCAGAAGAAGCACCGGCUAACUCCGUGCCAGCAGCCGCGGUAAUUC